rnacentral:rRNA from 1 species
UACGUAGGCAGCGAGCGUUGUUCGGAGUUACUGGGCGUAAAGCGUGCGUAGGCGGUGGCCCAAGUCUGGUGUGAAAUCUCCCGGCUCAACCGGGAGGGUGCGCCGGAAACUGGGUCGCUCGAGUACUGGAGAGGCAAGCGGAAUUCCUGGUGUAGCGGUGAAAUGCGUAGAUAUCAGGAGGAACACCCGUGGUGUAGACGGCUUGCUGGACAGUCACUGACGCUGAGGCACGAAAGCGUGGGGAGCAAACAGGAUUAGAUACCCUAGUAGUCC